rnacentral:rRNA from 1 species
AAUCGAACCUGGAGAUAGCUGGUUCUCUCCGAAAUAGCUUUAGGGCUAGCCUCAAGUGAUGAUUAUUGGAGGUAGAGCACUGUUUGGACGAGGGGCCCCUCUCGGGUUACCGAAUUCAGACAAACUCCGAAUGCCAAUUAAUUUAACUUGGGAGUCAGAACAUGGGUGAUAAGGUCCGUGUUCGAAAGGGAAACAGCCCAGACCACCAGCUAAGGUCCCAAAAUAUAUGUUAAGUGGAAAAGGAUGUGGCGUUGCCCAGACAACUAGGAUGUUGGCUUAGAAGCAGCCAUCAUUUAAAGAGUGCGUAAUAGCUCACUAGUCGAGUGACACUGCGCCGAAAAUGUACCGGGGCUAAACAUAUUACCGAAGCUGUGGAUUGUCCUUUGGACAAUGGUAGGAGAGCGUUCUAAGGGCGUUGAAGCAUGAUCGUAAGGACAUGUGGAGCGCUUAGAAGUGAGAAUGCCGGUGUGAGUAGCGAAAGACGGGUGAGAAUCCCGUCCACCGAUUGACUAAGGUUUCCAGAGGAAGGCUCGUCCGCUCUGGGUUAGUCGGGUCCUAAGCUGAGGCCGACAGGCGUAGGCGAUGGAUAACAGGUUGAUAUUCCUGUACCACCUAUAAUCGUUUUAAUCGAUGGGGGGACGCAGUAGGAUAGGCGAAGCGUGCGAUUGGAUUGCACGUCUAAGCAGUAAGGCUGAGUAUUAGGCAAAUCCGGUACUCGUUAAGGCUGA